GUGCCCUUUUACAGCUAACACAGUGCUUUAAGAGGCUAACACAGAAGGGGAAACUAAGUCUCCACAAAACCCAGAGAAGAGAGUGUGACCUCUUCUUUGGAUCCUGUCUGGAGUCACAGCU
rnacentral:snoRNA from 14 species